rnacentral:tRNA from 1 species
GGGCCAAUAGCUCAGUUGGUAGAGCAUCUGCUUUGCAAGCAGAGGGUCUGGGGUUCGAGUCCCCAUUGGUCCACCA